rnacentral:rRNA from 1 species
UACGUAGAGAGCGAGCGUUGUCCGGAUUUAUUGGGCGUAAAACGUCCGCAUCCGGUUUAUUAAGUGUAGAAUUAAAGCCCGGGGCUUAACUCCGGUUCGUUCUACAAACUGAUAGGCUAGAGUGUAGUAGAGGCAAGUGGAAUUUCUAGUGUAGCGGUGGAAUGCGUAGAUAUUAGAAGGAACACCAGUGGCGAAGGCGACUUGCUGGGCUAUUACUGACGGUCAGGGACGAAAGCGUGGGGAGCAAAUA